GAGAACCUCCUCCUUUUUUGGAAGUCGGUUAAAAAACCUAGCUUCGUUGAGCCCGUUUCCACCAAUGCUAAGCUAUGUGGACCAAUGAAGAUGAUUAGUGGAUAUCACACACAUCCAUAGCAAUGAAGCAUAACACAUC